UAACUCUUAUUUAGGGGGUUAAAAGAGCACGUCCCUUCUAAGGAUGUGGUCAUUGGUUCGAAUCCAAUAGGGCGUGCCA
rnacentral:tRNA from 3 species